rnacentral:rRNA from 1 species
AUGAAGGCUAGCUGGAUCGUUCUCAUCCACCAAUCCAGUAGUCCGUGGCGUCUCGUGGAUAUCUACACCCAGCGAGAGAUCACCCUUCCAUCAUUGGAUACCGCCGCCAUCGAGCCUCGCAGCCCCAGAUACAAAUGCGUUGGCCUUCAUGAUUCCAGGACCUGGAAUCAUACCAGCCGAUGGUACCAUAUAACUGGAAUUAACCGAUGCAACUCGAAGAAGGAUUGGCCGGUGCUGCCGACUGGCGUCAAGUUCGAUCCCACGGAUCAGGAGCUGAUCGAGCACCUUGAGGCCAAAGUGAGUGCUGAUAGCAUGAGAUCUCACCCUCUCAUCAAUUUGUUCAUACCAACCAUCGACAGCGAGCACGACAUAUGCUACACCCAUCCUGAGAAACUUCCAGGUAUCACACUGAGUGGCCUAAGCAAGCAUUUCUUCCAGCGCAAUUCCAGGGCGUUCAAAAGGGGCACGUGGACGCGUCGCAAGAUACACUCAGAGUGCGGCAUGCACGUGAUGUGGCACAAGACCGGCAAUACCUUGCCGGUGAUGGUCAAUGGCUGGCAGACGGGCAGCAAAAAGGUUCUGGUACUACACACCAACAAGAACUUCGACCAUUCCCGCAAAAAAAAGAACUUCGACCAGCAGAGGACCAACUGCGUGAUGCACCAGUACCACCGGGAACCUGGAGCAAGAGAAGGAGCUGGUCCUCUGCAAGAUUUUCUACCAGACAAACACUAG